rnacentral:lncRNA from 1 species
CUUUUAUCCACUGAGCCAGCCUGCCUUAAUAAUUACUCCAUGACCUUGGACAUGACCUGAGCUCACUUCUUCAUACCUAGAGGAGAGGUGGACCAGAAGUCACAGGGCAUAUUUAUACAGCAAGAAGACAGCUCUCUUCCUGCAAGCCAGGAAGACAGCUCUUACCAGACACCUUAGUCUUGGAUUUCCAGCCC